rnacentral:misc_RNA from 1 species
UGAAAUGCGAAACGUAAUGUGAAAUGCAUAAACCUGUGAAUCAUCGAGUCUUUGAACGCACAUGGCGCCUCGGGAAACUGAGGCAUACCUGGAUGAGGGAUGGCAAGUGGAUUGAUUUUGGAAAGAAUCAGAGAUGGGGUGUUCAGAUUUGGGAGGGGGAGUAAUUCAUUUCCUGAAGGGGUAAUGGAGUAAUUCAUUUCCUUCUUAUCUGUCCUCUUAAAUAGAGAUUGAGAGAUGGAAUGAUGUGAUAUUGUGAUAAUGGAAUUAAUUUUUCAUUUCUUGCAACUUCAUCAUCGCCAUCUCAAUGUUGUGUGAUGCUUGCGCAUCACGCGCAACAACAGCAACAACAUCAACAACACAUCCUCAUCUCAGGCAAGAUUACCCGCCGAACUUAA